UACGUAGGGUGCGAGCGUUGUCCGGAAUUACUGGGCGUAAAGAGCUCGUAGGUGGUUUGUCGCGUUGUUCGUGAAAACUCACAGCUUAACUGUGGGCGUGCGGGCGAUACGGGCAGACUGGAGUACUGCAGGGGAGACUGGAAUUCCUGGUGGUAGCGGUGGAAUGCGCAGAGUAUCAAGGAGGAACACCGGUGGCGAAGG
rnacentral:rRNA from 1 species